rnacentral:rRNA from 1 species
GGCGGACGGGUGAGUAACACGUGAGAACCUACCCUUAGGAUGGGGACAACAGUUGGAAACGACUGCUAAUACCCGAUGUGCCGAAAGGUGAAAGAUUUAUCGCCUAGGGAAGGGCUCGCGGCUGAUUAGCUAGUUGGUAAGGUAAAGGCUUACCAAGGCGACGAUCAGUAGCUGGUCUGAGAGGAUGAGCAGCCACACUGGGACUGAGACACGGCCCAGACUCCUACGGGAGGCAGCAGUGGGGAAUUUUCCGCAAUGGGCGAAAGCCUGACGGAGCAAUACCGCGUGUGGGAGGAAGGCUCUUGGGUUGUAAACCACUUUUCUCAGGGAAGAAUAGAUGACGGUACCUGAGGAAUAAGCAUCGGCUAACUUCGUGCCAGCAGCCGCGGUAAUACGGAGGAUGCAAGCGUUAUCCGGAAUCAUUGGGCGUAGAGCGUCCGCAGGUGGCCUAUCAAGUCUGCUGUCAAAGCGCAGAGCUCAACUCUGUAAAGGCAGUGGAAACUGAUAAGCUAGAGUACGGUAGGGGUAGCGGGAAUUCCCAGUGUAGCGGUGAAAUGCGUAGAUAUUGGGAAGAACAUCGGUGGCGAAGGCGCGCUACUGGGCCGAAACUGACACUGAGGGACGAAAGCUAGGGGAGCGAAAGGGAUUAGAUACCCCUGUAGUCCUAGCCGUAAACGAUGGAAACUAGGCGUGGCUUGUAUCGACCCGAGCCGUGCCGAAGCUAACGCGUUAAGUUUCCCGCCUGGGGAGUACGCACGCAAGUGUGAAACUCAAAGGAAUUGACGGGGGCCCGCACAAGCGGUGGAGUAUGUGGUUUAAUUCGAUGCAACGCGAAGAACCUUACCAAGGCUUGACAUGUCGCGAAUCCUGGUGAAAGCUAGGAGUGCCUUAGGGAGCGCGAACACAGGUGGUGCAUGGCUGUCGUCAGCUCGUGUCGUGAGAUGUUGGGUUAAGUCCCGCAACGAGCGCAACCCUCGUUUUUUAGUUGCCAGCAUUAAGUUGGGCACUCUAGAGAGACUGCCGGUGACAAACCGGAGGAAGGUGGGGAUGACGUCAAGUCAGCAUGCCCCUUACGUCUUGGGCAACACACGUAUUACAAUGGUCGGGACAAAGAGCAGCGACCUCGCGAGAGUAAGCGAAUCUCAUCAAACCCGGCCUCAGUUCAGAUUGCAGGCUGCAACUCGCCUGCAUGAAGGAGGAAUCGCUAGUAAUCGCAGGUCAGCAUACUGCGGUGAAUUCGUUCCCGGGCCUUGUACACACCGCCCGUCACACCAUGGAAGCUGGCCACACCCGAAGUCGUUACCCUAACCUUUCGAGGAGGGGGACGCCGAAGGUAGGGCUGGUGACUGGGGUGAAGUCGUAACAAGGUA